GAUGAAGAACGCAGCGAAAUGCGAUAAGUAGUGUGAAUUGCAGAAUUCAGUGAAUCAUCGAAUCUUUGAACGCACAUUGCGCCCCUUGGUAUUCCAUGGGGCAUGCCUGUUCGAGCGUCAUUUGUACCUUCAAGCUCUGCUUCGUGUUGGGUGUUUGUCUCGCCUCUGCGUGUAGACUCGCCUCAAAACAAUUGGCAGCCGGCGUAUUGAUUUCGGAGCGCAGUACAUCUCGCGCUUUGCACUCAUAACGACGACGUCCAAAAGUACAUUUUUACACUCUUGACCUCGGAUCAGGUAGGGAUACCCGCUGAACUUAAGCAUAUCAAUAAGCGGAGGA
rnacentral:misc_RNA from 1 species